rnacentral:rRNA from 1 species
UACAGAGGUCUCAAGCGUUGUUCGGAUUCAUUGGGCGUAAAGGGUGUGUAGGCGGCGCGCUAAGUCGGGUGUGAAAUUUCGGAGCUUAACUCCGAAACUGCAUUCGAUACUGGCGUGCUUGAGGACUGGAGAGGAGACUGGAAUUUACGGUGUAGCAGUGAAAUGCGUAGAUAUCGUAAGGAAGACCAGUGGCGAAGGCGGGUCUCUGGACAGUUACUGACGCUCAGGCACGAAAGCAUGGGGAGCAAAAGGG